rnacentral:rRNA from 1 species
CACGUAGGCGGCUAGGUCCGUCCGAUGUGAAAGCCCCGGCUCAACCGGGGAAUUGCAUCGGAUACAGCCUGGCUCGAGGACGGUUGGGGUGAGUGGAACUCCUGGUGGAGCGGUGAAAUGCGUAGAUAUCAGGAGGAACACCGGUGGCGAAAGCGGCUCACUGGACCGUUUCUGACGCUGAGGUGCGAAAGCUAGGGGAGCAAACG